rnacentral:rRNA from 1 species
AGCGAACGCUGGCGGCAGGCUUAACACAUGCAAGUCGAGCGGGCGUAGCAAUACGUCAGCGGCAGGCGGGUGAGUAACGCGUGGGAACAUACCUUUUGGUUCGGAACAACACAGGGAAACUUGUGCUAAUACCGGAUAAGCCCUUACGGGGAAAGAUUUAUCGCCGAAAGAUUGGCCCGCGUCUGAUUAGCUAGUUGGUGAGGUAACGGCUCACCAAGGCGACGAUCAGUAGCUGGCUGAGAGGAUGAUCAGCCACAUUGGGACUGAGACACGGCCCAAACUCCUACGGGAGGCAGCAGUGGGGAAUAUUGGACAAUGGGCGCAAGCCUGAUCCAGCCAUGCCGCGUGAGUGAUGAAGGCCCUAGGGUUGUAAAGCUCUUUUGUGCGGGAAGAUAAUGACGGUACCGCAAGAAUAAGCCCCGGCUAACUUCGUGCCAGCCGCCGC